GGGGGCUUAGUGGUGGGGUGACUGCGUACCUUUUGUAUAAUGGGUCAGCGACUUAUAUUCUGUAGCAAGGUUAACCGAAUAGGGGAGCCGUAGGGAAACCGAGUCUUAACCGGGCGUUAAGUUGCAGGGUAUAGACCCGAAACCCGGUGAUCUAGCCAUGGGCAGGUUGAAGGUUGGGUAACACUAACUGGAGGACCGAACCGACUAAUGUUGAAAAAUUAGCGGAUGACCUGUGGCUGGGGGUGAAAGGCCAAUCAAACCGGGAGAUAGCUGGUUCUCCCCGAAAGCUAUUUAGGUAGCGCCUCGUGAAUUCAUCUCCGGGGGUAGAGCACUGUUUCGGCUAGGGGGCCAUCCCGGCUUACCAACCCGAUGCAAACUGCGAAUACCGGAGAAUGUUAUCACGGGAGACACACGGCGGGUGCUAACGUCCGUCGUGAAGAGGGAAACAACCCAGACCGCCAGCUAAGGUCCCAAAGUCAUGGUUAAGUGGGAAACGAUGUGGGAAGGCCCAGACAGCCAGGAUGUUGGCUUAGAAGCAGCCAUCAUUUAAAGAAAGCGUAAUAGCUCACUGGUCGAGUCGGCCUGCGCGGAAGAUGUAACGGGGCUAAACCAUGCACCGAAGCUGCGGCAGCGACGCUGAUGCGUUGUUGGGUAGGGGAGCGUUCUGUAAGCCUGCGAAGGUGGCCUGUGAGGGUUGCUGGAGGUAUCAGAAGUGCGAAUGCUGACAUAAGUAACGAUAAAGCGGGUGAAAAGCCCGCUCGCCGGAAGACCAAGGGUUCCUGUCCAACGUUAAUCGGGGCAGGGUGAGUCGACCCCUAAGGCGAGGCCGAAAGGCGUAGUCGAUGGGAAACGGGUUAAUAUUCCCGUACUUGGUGUUACUGCGAAGGGGGGACGGAGAAGGCUAUGUUGGCCGGGCGACGGUUGUCCCGGUUUAAGCGUGUAGGUGUGUGUUCCAGGUAAAUCCGGUUCACUUUAACACUGAGGCGUGAUGACGAGGCACUACGGUGCUGAAGCAACAAAUGCCCUGCUUCCAGGAAAAGCCUCUAAGCAUCAGGUAACAUCAAAUCGUACCCCAAACCGACACAGGUGGUCAGGUAGAGAAUACCAAGGCGCUUGAGAGAACUCGGGUGAAGGAACUAGGCAAAAUGGUGCCGUAACUUCGGGAGAAGGCACGCUGACACGUAGGUGAAGUGAUUUACUCAUGGAGCUGAAGUCAGUCGAAGAUACCAGCUGGCUGCAACUGUUUAUUAAAAACACAGCACUGUGCAAACACGAAAGUGGACGUAUACGGUGUGACGCCUGCCCGGUGCCGGAAGGUUAAUUGAUGGGGUCAGCGCAAGCGAAGCUCCUGAUCGAAGCCCCGGUAAACGGCGGCCGUAACUAUAACGGUCCUAAGGUAGCGAAAUUCCUUGUCGGGUAAGUUCCGACCUGCACGAAUGGCGUAAUGAUGGCCAGGCUGUCUCCACCCGAGACUCAGUGAAAUUGAACUCGCUGUGAAGAUGCAGUGUACCCGCGGCAAGACGGAAAGACCCCGUGAACCUUUACUAUAGCUUGACACUGAACAUUGAGCCUUGAUGUGUAGGAUAGGUGGGAGGCUUUGAAGUGUGGACGCCAGUCUGCAUGGAGCCGACCUUGAAAUACCACCCUUUAAUGUUU
rnacentral:rRNA from 1 species